rnacentral:rRNA from 1 species
CCUACGGGAGGCUGCAGUGGGGAAUAUUGGACAAUGGGCGAAAGCCUGAUCCAGCCAUGCCGCGUGUGUGAAGAAGGCCUUCGGGUUGUAAAGCACUUUCAGUGGGGAAGAAAGCCUUGGGGCUAAUACCCUCGAGGAAGGACAUCACCCACAGAAGAAGCACCGGCUAACUCCGUGCCAGCAGCCGCGGUAAUACGGAGGGUGCGAGCGUUAAUCGGAAUUACUGGGCGUAAAGCGCGCGUAGGCGGUCUGAUAAGCCGGUUGUGAAAGCCCCGGGCUCAACCUGGGAACGGCAUCCGGAACUGUCAGGCUAGAGUGCAGGAGAGGAAGGUAGAAUUCCCGGUGUAGCGGUGAAAUGCGUAGAGAUCGGGAGGAAUACCAGUGGCGAAGGCGGCCUUCCGGACUGACACUGACGCUGAGGUGCGAAAGCGUGGGUAGCAAACAGGAUUAGAUACCCCGGUAGUC